UACGUACUGUGCGAACGCUAUUCGGAUUCACUGGGCUUAAAAGGUGCGUCGGCGGCUUGCCCGGUGUGGUGGGAAAUCCCCCGGCCCAACCGGGCACUGCAUUGGAAACCGACAGGCUUGAGCGAGCUAGGGGUAUGCGGAACUUCCAGUGGAGCGGUGAAAUGUGUUGAUAUUGGAAGGAACACCGGUGGCGAAAGCGGCAUACUGGCGCUUGCCUGACGCUGAGGCACGAGAGCUAGGGGAGCAAACAGG
rnacentral:rRNA from 1 species